CCUAGGGGGGCUCCAGUGGGGAAUAUUGGACAAUGGGCGCAAGCCUGAUCCAGCAAUGCCGCGUGAGUGAAGACGGCCUUAGGGUUGUAAAACUCUUUCGCUAGGGAAGAUAAUGACUGUACCUAGUAAAGAAGUCCCGGCUAACUCCGUGCCAGCAGCCGCGGUAAUACGGAGGGGACUAGCGUCGUUCGGAAUUACUGGGCGUAAAGAGUUCGUAGGCGGACUGACAAGUUAGAGGUGAAAUCCCAGGGCUCAACCCUGGAACUGCCUUUAAAACUGUCAGUCUAGAGACCGGAAGAGGUUAGGGGAAUACCUAGUGUAGAGGUGAAAUUCGUAGAUAUUAGGUGGAACACCAGUGGCGAAGGCGCCUAACUGGUCCGGUACUGACGCUGAGGAACGAAAGCGUGGGGAGCAAACAGGAUUAGAUACCCCCGUAGUC
rnacentral:rRNA from 1 species